rnacentral:lncRNA from 1 species
CCAAGGCAUCCUUCCUUGAUCUACGCUGUCUGGGCAGAAUGACUCAGGGAAAUUCCAGUUACAUAUCCUGAUUCUAGUACUCUAGUACUAGACUCUAGUAGCUACCCUGACUCUAGUACUCAAUCUUUUACAUGCAAACAGAACUUUACCCUUGGUAUUACUAUUCCUUUUCAAGUUCAAAGGAGUGCUGUAUGCUGCAUCUGAAGAAAAUAUUCCUUUAGCAUCACGAUCCUGGGUAGGGAAGAAGAAAAGAAAUUCUGUCUUUCCUGCCAAUGAAAACCAAAGUAAAACAGAGGCAUGGGUGAAAAGAGGUAACCCUUCAAACUCUCAUGUGACUGAAGAUUCAUUAAAGAAUGAAGCUGAACCUAAAUCACAGGAAACCAUUACCUCCUCAGUUUCUCUACCAGGAAGUGUUACUAACUACUUGGAUGAAAUAC